UACGGAGGGUGCAAGCGUUAUCCGGAUUUACUGGGUUUAAAGGGUGCGUAGGUGGGCUUGUAAGUCAGUGGUGAAAUCUCCGGGCUUAACCCGGAAACUGCCAUUGAUACUAUAGGUCUUGAAUUAUCUGGAGGUAAGCGGAAUAUGUCAUGUAGCGGUGAAAUGCUUAGAUAUGACAUAGAACACCAAUUGCGAAGGCAGCUUACUACGGAUAUAUUGACACUGAGGCACGAAAGCGUGGGGAUCAAACAGG
rnacentral:rRNA from 1 species